rnacentral:lncRNA from 1 species
CGCAGCGCGCUCCCGGGCCGGCGGUUCGGCCCCUGGCACCGCGCGCCCGCUGCCCACCGCCGGGCAUCACCGGACCAAGACGUUUCCCACAGCGGGCUGCAAGGCAGUCCCAGGAGAGCAGGACCUUGCUUGUCUUGGCCACUCGGGUCCCUGGUCUGGCACAGGGCCUGAUAGGAAUGCGUUGACAGAAAGAAUAAAAACGCCGAGUCGAGUGGGACUGCGGACUGGUACAGCCACGCUGGACGACGGUUUGCAGAUGUGCCUUUCGAGACGUCUCAUGUAAAUGGAAUCACACGAUAUGCAGCCGUCGGUGUCUAGCUGCUUCUACUCAGCACAGCGUUUUCAAGGUCCGUCCAUGUAGCACGCAUCAGUACCUCAUUCCUUUUUAUUAUGAUUAUAUUGUGCCAAAUUUAAUGUACUCCAUUUAAUUAUCCCG